rnacentral:tRNA from 1 species
UUUAAUAUGGCAGAUAAGUGCAUUGGAUUUAAGACCCAAAUAUAAAGUCUAAAUCUUUUAUUAGAA